CCUAGGGAGGCAGCAGUGGGGAAUAUUGGACAAUGGGCGAAAGCCUGAUCCAGCCAUGCCGCGUGUGUGAAGAAGGCCUUCGGGUUGUAAAGCACUUUCAGUGGGGAAGAAAGCCUUGGGGCUAAUACCCUCGAGGAAGGACAUCACCCACAGAAGAAGCACCGGCUAACUCCGUGCCAGCAGCCGCGGUAAUACGGAGGGUGCGAGCGUUAAUCGGAAUUACUGGGCGUAAAGCGCGCGUAGGCGGUCUGAUAAGCCGGUUGUGAAAGCCCCGGGCUCAACCUGGGAACGGCAUCCGGAACUGUCAGGCUAGAGUGCAGGAGAGGAAGGUAGAAUUCCCGGUGUAGCAGUGAAAUGCGUAGAGAUCGGGAGGAAUACCAGUGGCGAAGGCGGCCUUCUGGACUGACACUGACGCUGAGGUGCGAAAGCGUGGGUAGCAAACAGGAUUAGAUACCCCGGUAGUC
rnacentral:rRNA from 1 species